rnacentral:rRNA from 1 species
UAAUCUACCUUCCUGACCGGGACAACUGGCCGAAAGGCUUGCUAAUACCGGAUAAGACCACGGGAGCUUCGGUUCCUGAGGGAAAAAGGUGGCCUCUGUACACAAGCUAUCACAGGGAGAUGAGUCCGCGGCCCAUCAGCUAGUUGGCGGGGUAAAGGCCCACCAAGGCAACGACGGGUAGCUGGUCUGAGAGGAUGAUCAGCCACACUGGAACUGAGACACGGUCCAG